AAGGGAUAACCAAGAGCAAAAUAGGUGUCAUUUUGUAAAUCAGAAGAUGACGUACUUGCAAACAAGUUUGUACUAUCACCUAAGGCCUUAUAGGUAGCAAUGGCGGGUUUGAUAAAGUUUUCCCAUACUUGGUAAUCCAACUUGUUGUUUAAGUACAAGGGUACUUCUAACACGGCAAAAUCAGCAUAAGGUUUUAAACCAACUUCCGGACAAAUUUCAUUUAAGGAUUUCCAAUGUUUAUUGUCAAACCGAUAAUCAACAAAGUCCACCGCUGCAUAAGCCAUCUUUGGUAAAGCUGCUAGUUGGACAUCAACAAAUGCGUGUUUGACAUUCGUGUACAGACCAAAUAAACUGGGAUCAGUGUAUUUACCAAUUCGAAAACUAGUGGUUAAAUCUUGGGUAUUAUCGACUUGGUUAUAAGGCGGGUAGUCGUGCGGGUUCUUUAAAGUGUCAGCGACAUGGAAGUUAGUCGCUAAAUAGGCAGUGAACUUAUUUUCGUUUGUACUAGUAUCCUUUCAAUCAAUUAACCAACCAGUCCCGUAAGUAUUUCACCGUUGUGACGUUAAAGUUAACGAAAAGCUUAAGUUAUAAAGCUGGUGGUAAAAGUCAGUUGGUUUGGGAACGGUAUUAGUAGCCCACUUUGUUUGGUAUUCAGCGCGCGGUACCUUUUCUAAUUGCACAAUCGUGGCACAUCCACUAAGCGGUACGGCAAAUAAACAAGACUAGCACUAACAGAAAAACGCCACAUACACAAACCUA
rnacentral:sRNA from 1 species